rnacentral:misc_RNA from 1 species
CGAGUUACAAACUCCCUAAACCAUUGUGAACCUACCACUAGUUGCCUUCGGCGGAUGCAGCCAGGCUCCCGGUCAACGGGGACAGAGCCGCCUAGACAGCCCCCUCAAACUCUUGUUUACCACUAGGCUAACUCUGAGUAUUAACCAUUAAAUAAGUCA